rnacentral:rRNA from 1 species
CAGCCGCCACGGUAAUACGUAGGUGGCAAGCGUUAUCCGGAAUUAUUGGGCGUAAAGCGCGCGUAGGCGGUUUUUUAAGUCUGAUGUGAAAGCCCACGGCUCAACCGUGGAGGGUCAUUGGAAACUGGAAAACUUGAGUGCAGAAGAGGAAAGUGGAAUUCCAUGUGUAGCGGUGAAAUGCGCAGAGAUAUGGAGGAACACCAGUGGCGAAGGCGACUUUCUGGUCUGUAACUGACGCUGAUGUGCGAAAGCGUGGGGAUCAAACAGGAUUAGAUACCCCCGUAGUCCCUGUCUCUUAUAA